CCGGCGGGGACUACAUCAAGGAGCCUGCGGGACCGAGCGUUCGCGUCCCGCAUCCCAACGGGCAUGUCGAGGCGUUCCCGCCCCGCAAAGCUCCGUUUCUGACCCUGUUCUAGGUGGAAAACGAGGCAUCGGGAUGCUCGUAGUUAAUUCCCCUCCUCCACGGGUCUUUAUUUAGCCUCGGAAAACACAAGCGAAGAGCGCAGAGUGAAUGUGCCCUGCGGCAAAAACAUUACGGUGCGAGACGAGGAAAGGGAAGCAAGAAAAGAGGGCGGGAAGUAAACAAGAUGUGGAGCUGACAUCCGUUACCAGAGGGAAAACACCCGUGCGCAAUAAACCCAGAAGAAUGAGGUAGAAGGAGAGACGAGACCUAACACGGAAGAGGAAGCUGAGGAGACACGAGCUGCUGAGCAAGAACUGAGUGAUGCUGUCCAAACACGGAGCCUCAUGGCCCCCGACAUGGCCCUGGGAGGGGGGAAUUGCUGCGUGAAAGGGGGAUAAAAGCAAUUCUCCUCCUCUUUCGACGCAAUAAGGCACCAAAAAUGGAGGUGGCCUAGGAAAGGCCUUCCCUCUCCCUUCUGUCAAUACUAAAUGCAUAAAAUUAAAUGUUAAUAUCA